UUCUGAGUUGGGUCUGUGUAACAAGCAGACCUUUUACAUCCUCUGACUUUGCUCAUCAACAAGCUGAUCAAGACCAAAACCCACAUCCCCAAGAUGCAACCUUUGACCCAAAACAGGGAGUUGAAGGCAUUGAAGGACUUCCAGUAGAUGAUGAAAAUGAAGGGAAGUAUAGAGGGCUGAGCAGGCUUGGCUCCAGACCACCAAAUUGUGAGCACAAAUGUCAAGGCUGUGUGCCAUGUUUUCCAGUUCAGAUACCCACAACCACAGACCAAAUUGGACUUCAAUAUGCAAAUUAUGAGCCUGAAGGAUGGAAAUGCAAGUGUGGCUCUACUUUCUUCAACCCAUAAAUGGUUCAGUUUUUUCAAGUUCAAACUUCAGAGACAACUUGAUCAUCAAGAUAGGUUAUAGCAGAUAGCUUCCAUCAGUUAGUUUCCAGACUCUAGCUAGGUGGCAUGCCAUUGCCGUGUAUAAACUGAUCCGAUUCAUUUUUAAUUCUUUUGUUUGUUCCCCAGAAAUGUGACUAGGUUAUGUGUUG